rnacentral:rRNA from 1 species
AUUGAACGCUGGCGGCAUGCCUUACACAUGCAAGUCGAACGGCAGCACGGGAGCUUGCUCCUGGUGGCGAGUGGCGAACGGGUGAGUAAUGCAUCUGAACGUACCCAGGAGUGGGGGAUAACUAUCCGAAAGGAUGGCUAAUACCGCAUAUUCUGUGAGCAGGAAAGCGGGGGAUCGCAAGACCUCGCGCUCUUGGAGCGGCCGAUGUCGGAUUAGCUAGUUGGUGAGGUAAAGGCUCACCAAGGCGACGAUCCGUAGCAGGUCUGAGAGGAUGAUCUGCCACACUGGGACUGAGACACGGCCCAGACUCCUACGGGAGGCAGCAGUGGGGAAUUUUGGACAAUGGGGGCAACCCUGAUCCAGCCAUGCCGCGUGAGUGAAGAAGGCCUUCGGGUUGUAAAGCUCUUUCGGCGGGGAAGAAAUAGCAACGGCUAAUAUCCGUUGUUGAUGACGGUACCCGCAUAAGAAGCACCGGCUAACUACGUGCCAGCAGCCGCGGUAACAC